AAAAAUGUUGAAUAUCAACAAUGGGUUUCAGUGCUGUAUUGUUGAGUUUUGUAUGAACUAAUCUAGCUUCUCUAAAAAAAAAAAAAAAAAAAAAAAAAAGAAAGAAAAGAAAGAAAGAAAAGAAAGAAAGAAAGAAAAAAAAAGAAAAGAAAAAAAAGAGAACCACAGCUUUGGACAAAAGUCUAUAGCCAGUGCAUUUGAAAACUCCCCUUGCACCAGGGCUGACUGUAGCUGGGGGAAGACAUUUUACUCAUUUGCUCUUUCCUUUCAUACAGUCAGCUGGUCCCUCUUCUCAGGUGUAGAUCACCUAUUAUAAUUUUACCUAAUUUUGAUACUCUGAUAAGGAAAGUCCCAGGACUUAUCAGCUGGGAUAGGCCUCACUUACAAGACAGCUCUGUUCAGUAUUUGGAAGAAAGCCUGACAGGUUUCUUCGGAAAAGUGGCCAUCCAUGGAAUGAAUGAAAUGUUCUCUUUCUAUUCCACGCGGGUCCAAGCCUGUAGCCCCAAAUCGGAUAAUCUCUGCAGCUGAUAACAAGCAAAAGAGAAGCCAGGCAACAGCCAUAUUAAAGAAGAAAACAAUCAACUCUGAGAUCCAACUUAGAAAUAAUGUUUCAUUCAAGAUAAGGCUCGUGGCUUAGGAGAUUGUGACCUGGCUUGCAUCAUUCUAAGACUUCUAUCGUCUGUUUUCAAAACCCAAGGAGGACCUCCUUUUCUGUGUGAUAGUUCCUCAUGCUUUGCCAGCCACUGGGUCUUUAAGGAAGCUUGCCAAGAGUUCCCGGCUGGGAAGGACAGUUCGAGUUCAUCAUAGACAAUGAGCUGGCACCACAGUUUAAGUGACUCACCAACCUGGUUGCCCACUUCAAAAUGUCAAGAACCACACUAUCUAAUUGAAAGAACUGUGUUUUAGCAAAGUGUAAUUGGAUCGCCUGGCAAGAUCAUCUCAAACUAUGUCUCUGACCUUGCCUUUCAGUGGCUAUUUUGAGCACAAGAGGAGAAAGGAAAUGAUUCCUGAAUUAUAUCUUGUUUUUAAAAAUUAAGAUUAAUUAAUACUUGGUUUUAUGUUCAUUCCAUUGUAGGAACUUAGUGAUUAUUACAAAACAGUCAAAAUAGGUCAUAGCAAAAUGAACGUUUAAGAUUAGGUUAAAACAUUCCUCUGAAAUUUUAGUAUUCACUUUUGAAGUGUCAAUUACUAUAUUUCUGUAAUUUCUCAUUUUUUUCUUGGCUUAGAGUCAAGAUGAAAAAUGAUAUUUGAAUCAAAGACAUUGUUUUGUUAUAUAGCCACUCCUUUCUAAAAUGCAAAUCCACCCUCCCCUCACCAAUGCUUUAUUCUUUGUGCGCGCACACACACACACACACACACACACACACACACACACACACAGACAUACACAGAACCAGCACCCAAAUGGUAGAGGAGGUCCUUCCAAGACUUCUAGGACCUGGAUCAUGUAAGCAGUAGAUGAGAAAAUGAAGUAAGAGAUAUAGAGUAAUAACAAUAAAAGUCAAUGAUUUCAUUUUACAAAAAAGUCAUUGUGUAGUACUCAGAUAUUUUUAAGAGCAAGUAUUAUUAUGACUAAAGUAUAUUAUACUUCUAAAUUAUUAUGAUUCUCAUCUAAUUUCAAGCCACACAUAGGCGCCAUUUGAAAGCAUUUUGUGUUACAACCUAUCAACAAAAAUCAACUAAUAGUUUUAUAACGUGCAUAGGUUUACCCCAUGGGGAAUUAAAAUUUUUAUCUGCAAGUAUUUCUGUUGUUGUGAGACUUUAGGACAAGACAACAUUUGGUGUUAACAUAGAAGAAUAUUCUAUGGCUUUUUUAGCUUUAAAGUUCAUUACUCUAAAAUAAAGUACACGUGGUAUUUUUUUCUUCCUAGUGUUCUCUUAUUAUAUGUAGAGUAUUUUCGGUUGUUGUUUUUAACGUAUACAUUAUUUUUAUUAAGUCAUUUCAUAAAAGAUAAGAUAUAUACUAAUAGACCCUUGGUUUUCUCCUAAUUUAAUUAUUUCAAGUCAAGCAAAAUUGGGCAAUUUUCUUUCAGGAAAAAAAAAAUAUUGAGCAUGAUUUUGAGGUAAAACUGAUUAUUUACAGCAUCUUUUCUCUAAUAGGCUAACAUUUAUGAUGGAUCUUAUUUCAAAGUUGAUUAUUCUCAAAGAAAAGUGGAGAUAUUAGAAUUUCCGAGUAAAUUGCAUUGUUUUAAAAAGUACUUUAAUGCAUUGUUCACAUUGUUGCCAGCUAUUGACCAAAAAAGAGAAGAAGAAAAAAGAAAUAAAAAAAGCAGUAUCUGCUCCAAACGUCAAGUUUUGCAGUUUGAAAGACUUGUACAUUAUAAUUGUUUUUUUCUUUUUUGGAAAGCAGUAGUAAUUAAUACCAAAGGCAUAGACAAUUUAGGGCCAUAACCUCCCUUCCCCCCUCUCCACCUUUUUUUUUUUUUUUUUUUUUUUUUAACUUUAACCAUGAUAGGCAUCUCUGCAAGGUAGGUUUUAACAUAUUUUUUUCCUAAUUUUUUUCCCUCCAUUCAGUAAGAAGGAUAAGCUUUUAGAGUACCCAGUCACCGUGGUAACUGCCAAAAAAAUUCUCCUGAAGUUUGAAGAGGUCAGCUAGCAGGGUCAACAACCCUGGCCUCUCUCUGAGCUCGGUCUAGCAUGCCCCAGCCUGCGGUUGGAGUGUCAGGCCAGAUCUGACCCUGGGAGGUGGACCAUUCUGGCUCUGAUAUAAAUUUUUCGAGUCAGUUCAUGGCCUGGACUCUCCAGGUGGCCUCCAAAAUCGAUUUUGACCCCCUGACCCUGUCUCACGGAGGCAUAGCAUCCACCCUAAGUAAGGAUUUAGCCAGGAAUGACAGCUUUCCACUGAGUGUUAUUGGGGACAGUAUAAACAGUUUGGAAAGCAAGUAAGGAGGUGUGAGGGCUAGCAAUCAUUAAAAGCACAUUAAAAAACAAUUUUUAAAAAUCUUUAUUAGAGAAAGUUGUAAAUGCAUAUCUGUUACAGAAUUCCUGUGAUUUGUAGAGUUUUCUAGUCAGUUUUGAAUAUAAAUAGGUCACAUAUCUUUAUCUUUUUGCAUACUUUGUUACAAAUAUGCAAAUAAGAUAGGCAUACUUGCUACAAAAUAGGUACAGCAGGAAUGUAAUAUGUUCAGAAAAGGCAAACUGGUUAUUAAAACACAUUAACAGGUAAGGAGUUUCUAAUAUUUUAAAUACUAAAAUUUUACAUGUGUAUUUUGAAGUUUUUAAAAUGGAAAAAUAAAGAACCUUUAAAAA
rnacentral:lncRNA from 1 species